GCCUCUGUGGUGUAAUGGUAGCACGUGCCCCCUAUAAGGGUGAAACGCAGGUUUAACUCCUCGUUUGAGGUC